GUAGGUGGCAAGCGUUGUCCGGAAUUAUUGGGCGUAAAGCGCGCGCAGGCGGUUCUUUAAGUCUGGUGUGAAAGCCCACGGCUCAACCGUGGAGGGUCAUUGGAAACUGGAGAACUUGAGUACAGAAGAGGAAAGCGGAAUUCCACGUGUAGCGGUGAAAUGCGUAGAGAUGUGGAGGAACACCAGUGGCGAAGGCGGCUUUCUGGUCUGUAACUGACGCUGAGGCGCGAAAGCGUGGGGAGCAAACAGGGAUUAGAUACCCUGGUAGUCCACGCCGUAAACGAUGAGUGCUAAGUGUUAGGGGGUUUCCGCCCCCUUAGUGCUGCAGCUAACGCAUUAAGCACUCCGCCUGGGGAGUACGGCCGCAAGGCUG
rnacentral:rRNA from 1 species